AUUGAACGCUGGCGGCAGGCCUAACACAUGCAAGUCGAGCGGAUGAAGGGAGCUUGCUCCUGGAUUCAGCGGCGGACGGGUGAGUAAUGCCUAGGAAUCUGCCUGGUAGUGGGGGAUAACGUCCGGAAACGGGCGCUAAUACCGCAUACGUCCUGAGGGAGAAAGUGGGGGAUCUUCGGACCUCACGCUAUCAGAUGAGCCUAGGUCGGAUUAGCUAGUUGGUGGGGUAAAGGCCUACCAAGGCGACGAUCCGUAACUGGUCUGAGAGGAUGAUCAGUCACACUGGAACUGAGACACGGUCCAGAUUCCUACGGGAGGCAGCAGUGGGGAAUAUUGGACAAUGGGCGAAAGCCUGAUCCAGCCAUGCCGCGUGUGUGAAGAAGGUCUUCGGAUUGCAAAGCACUUUAAGUUGGGAGGAAGGGCAGUAAGUUAAUACCUUGCUGUUUUGACGUUACCAACAGAAUAAGCACCGGCUAACUUCGUG
rnacentral:rRNA from 1 species